rnacentral:rRNA from 1 species
GCCCUAAAGCGCCCGACUGCUANAGGANNGAGAUUUAGGGAUGCUUGUCGAACGUCCCCCUGUUGCCGGGGGGCGUGGCGUACGGCUCAGUAACACGUAGUCCACCUGCCCUGGAGACAAGGACAACCCCGGGAAACUGGGAUUAAUCCUUGAUAGGUCAUCUCAUCUGGAAGGAGAGAUGGCUUAAAGGGGUACGCGGGCUUCUUCCGCGAAUCUGCUCCAGGAUGGGACUGCGUCCGAUCACGCUGUUGGCGGGGUAAUGGCCCACCAAACCUGUAACCGGUACGGGUCUUGAGAGAGGUGGCCCGGAGAUGGACACUGAGAGAAGGGUCCAGGUCCUACGGGGUGCAGCAGGCGCGAAACCUUCGCAAUGCGCGAAAGCGUGACGAGGUUAAUCCGAGUGACUCCCGCUGAGGGGGUCUUUUGUCAGCUGUAAAUAGGCAGGCGAAUAAGGGGAGGGCAAGCCUGGUGUCAGCCGCCGCGGUAAUACCAGCUCCUCGAGUGGUCGGGGCGAUUAUUGGGCCUAAAGCAUCCGUAGCCGGUUCCGUAGGUCCUCUGUUAAAUCCAACCGCUUAACGGUUGACCUGCAGAGGAUACCGCUGGACUAGGAGGCGGGAGAGGCGGACGGUACUCCGCGUGUAGGGGUAAAAUCCUUUGAUCCGCGGAAGACCACCGGUGGCGAAGGCGGUCCGCCAGAACGCGCUCGUCGGUGAGGGAUGCCAGCCGGGGGAGCGAACCGGAUUAGAUACCCGGGUAGUCCCAGCCGUAAACGAUGCUAGCUGGAUGAGUCGUUCGCAAGUCGCGAGUGCCGUCUCGCAGGGAAGCCGUUAAGCCCUCCGCAGGGGGCCCACCGUU